rnacentral:rRNA from 1 species
UACGUAGGGUGCAAGCGUUGUCCGGAAUUAUUGGGCGUAAAGAGUUCGUAGGCGGUUUGUCGCGUCCGUUGUGAAAGCUUGGGGCUCAACCCCAGGUCUGCAGUGGAUACGGGCAGGCUAGAGUCAGGUAGGGGAGAACGGAAUUCCUGGUGUAGCGGUGAAAUGCGCAGAUAUCAGGAGGAACACCGGUGGCGAAGGCGGCUUGCUGGGCCAGUUCUGACGCUGAGGAGCGAAGGCGUGGGGAGCGAACAGG